AUGCGCCUGCCGGGGUGGUGUCCAUACUUCGUUGAAGUGGAUAUCUGAGAACAAACCCGUACAACCUGAUCCGGAUAAUACCGGCGGAGGGAGACGAAUGAACACUCGU
rnacentral:ncRNA from 2 species